rnacentral:rRNA from 1 species
UACGAAGGGGGCUAGCGUUGCUCGGAAUCACUGGGCGUAAAGCGCACGUAGGCGGCUUUUUAAGUCAGGGGUGAAAUCCUGGAGCUCAACUCCAGAACUGCCUUUGAUACUGGGAGCUCGAGUCCGGGAGAGGUGAGUGGAACUCCGAGUGUAGAGGUGAAAUUCGUAGAUAUUCGGAAGAACACCAGUGGCGAAGGCGGCUCACUGGCCCGGUACGUGACGCUGAUGUGCGAAAGCGUGGG